AAAUUUGAUCUUUUGGAAAGUUUCCAGUACAAAAACUGUCAAUAUGCCUAAUUUAUUCCUCGAUUAAAAGUCACUCGACUUUGGUGAAAUCGUUACUAGGU